GGGGAUGUCACGGUUUCGACGUGACACAUUAAUUUUUAAUUGCAGUGGGGUUAGCCCCUUAUCGCUUUCGAGGCAUUUUAAAUGCAGAAAAUAAAAAAUCUUCUGAAGUAGAAUUAAACCCAGCGUUUAUGGCUUCAGCUACUAAUGCAAACUACGCUUUUGCGUACUAAUUAGUUAUUAGUAGAAACGUUCAUUAACAUAAUUACUAUUGGUUGGUUUUUGGGCUUAUUUUACAAUAGUUUUAAAUUUAAAAUUCUUAUUUGUUGUUUAAAUUUAAAUAGAUUUAACAAAUAGUUAGUUAAUUUUAAAUUUGUUUUAUUAGUUAUUAACUACACUAUUUUUAAUAAAACUAAACUGUAGAUAUUAUUAAUUAUGUGUUGCGGAAAGGGGUUCGACUCCCCUCAUCUCCACCA
rfam:Treaplasma parvum serovar 3 str. ATCC 700970, complete genome.